UUCACCACUGGUGCAGCUGCUAAAUAGCAAAGACCAGGAAGUGCUGCUUCAAACGGGCAGGGCUCUAGGAAACAUAUGUUACGAUAGCCAUGAGGGCAGAAGUGCAGUUGACCAAGCAGGUGGUGCACAGAUUGUAAUUGACCAUUUAAGGUCACUGUGCAGUAUAACAGAUCCCGCCAAUGAGAAGCUCUUGACUGUCUUUUGUGGCAUGCUGAUGAACUAUAGCAAUGAGAAUGAUCUCCAUUCUUUGGAGUUUCCAUGAGUGUGACCUGAAGAACUUGGAACCAUUGAAAUUCAAAUGUAGAUUCGCUUCAAGCUCAGCUUAUCAAUAUGGGUGUUAUUCCUACCUUAGUGAAAUUACUGGGCAUCCACUGCCAAAAUGCAGCUCUUACAGAAAUGUGUCUUGUUGCAUUUGGUAAUUUAGCAGAACUUG
rnacentral:sRNA from 1 species